rnacentral:lncRNA from 1 species
CCCCUGAGAGGCCCCACAGGCACAUCUCAGGCUGUCCUCUGGGAAGAAAUGACCCAGGAGCUGAUAUUCAUGACCCUCCAAGAGACCCGGCAGCUUGUGGGCAUCUCAGAUGAGCCCCAGGCAGUUCUGAAACCCAGGACCAGGAAAAGAUAAGAGGGUGGGCUGAGGUCACAUCACCCUGUAACGUUUCCAAAAGGGAACUGUCAGGCCUCUGAGCCGAAGCUCAGCCAUUGUAACCCCUGUGACCUGCACAUAUAUGUCCAGGUGGCCUACAGGAGCCAAGAAGUCUGGAGCAGCUGAAAAACAAGGAAGUGAAACAGCCAAUUCCUGCCUUAACUAAUUAACCCACCUUACGACAUUCCACCAUUAUGACGUGUUCCUGCCCUGCCCCAACUGAUCAAUCGACCCUGUGACAUUCUUCUGGACAAUGAGUCCCAUCAUCUCUCCACCAUGCACCUUGUGACUCCCUCCUCUGCUGACAACAGAUAACCACCUUUAACUGUAACUUUCCACAGCCUACCCCAGCCCUAUAAAGCUGCCCCUCUCCUAUCUCCCUUCGCUGACUCUCUUUUCAGACUCAGCCCACUUGCACCCAAGUGAAUUAACAGCCUUGUUGCUCACACAAAGCCUGUUUAGGUGGUCUUCUAUACGGACAUGCUUGACACUUGGUGCCAAAAUCUGGGCCAGGGGGACUCCUUCGUGAGACCGGCCCCCUGUCCUGGCCCUCAUUCCGUGAAGAGAUCCACCUGCGACCUCGGGUCCUCAGACCAGCCCAAGGAACAUCUCACCAAUUUCAAAUCGGAUCUCCUCGGCUUAGUGGCUGAAGACUGAUGCUGCCCGAUCGCCUCAGAAGCCCCUUGGACCAUCACAGAUGCCGAGCUUCGGGUAACUCUUACGGUGGAGGAUUCCCAGCCAUAUGAAGACACCCUAGCUGGACGAUCAGUCCUUGUCAAAAGUCUGACCCCUCAAACUCUACAGCCUCAAUGGACCAGACCCUACCCGGUCAUUUAUAGCACACCAACUGCCGUCCAUCUGCAGGACCCUCUCCAUUGGGUUCACCAUUCCAGAAUAAAGCCAUGCCCAUCAGACAGCCAGCUUGAUCUCUCCUCUUCCUCCUGGAAGCCACAAGAUUAGGCCGAGAGCCGAUCAGACAAACAACCUACAACCCUUAAGCUCCUGGCAGCGCCCAGCCAAGGCCAUGCUUCCUUGCAACACUCCUUCCAAAUGGCCAUCCCAGCAUGCUUCCAAGCAGGCUUCAUCCGUUCCUCUGGACCCUCAUCUCUUAAGACCUGCCGCCUAUAAAAAGGAUUAUAUCUUGAGACCCUAUCCUCUAAAAUUUUUUCCACACCCAAAACAAAAAAUCUCUGGGUCAAAAGUCUAAAACGCUUAGGCUGGCAACCAUCAGAUCCUUGCCCAUGGUGUCCUCAAGCCUACUCUCAUGAAAUGGACAACAGUACACGCAUAUGGGGCCAGUUCCACAUAUUUGGCAACCAGACCAGCAUCCAGGACAACACAAAGAUCUGCAAUCAGAACUAUUGAACUUCUCCAUUCAGACCGCCACUCACACCUAUGGGAAAAGGGUAAUGUAUCAUCGGCUUAGCAACAGGGAAUACUAUUCGUAUGAUGGAAAAUGGGGACAAAAGGCUUUGGUACAUAAAACAUUAUUCCUUCCUUGGCCUAAAAACUCAUCGCCACCUACAUUAAAGCUAAUAUGCCU